UUACGGCCAUAUCACAUUGUAACCCCAGUUCCCGUACGAUCACUGAAGUUAAGCAACGUCAAGCCUGGUCAGUAUCUAGAUGGAUGACUGUUUGGGAAUACCAAGUGCUGUCA